rnacentral:lncRNA from 1 species
GAUGACCUUGACAUUUCUUCCUGGUUUCUAUUAAGCAAACGCAAUAAUGCUUCAUUCUAUUCUAUAGGCCAUCUAUUUUUUAAUAUAUAAUAGUGUUUCACAUCAGAGUAAUGAGCCAAAAUGAGACAAGACUAAGUUGUAAUGAUGUAAAUGAGAAAAGAAUUUGAUGGUGGUAAUGACAGUUUAAUCAUUACAAGUCCAAGUCUGAGAUAAGGUUUACAAUUCAGAGGCUGCUCAGAGGGAGAUCUCAUAUUGCUUAAAUUAAAGUAGGACAUGGUUUAAGUUAGGUGUGGUCUUCAAACUUCCCAUGUGCUCACAUUAAACUUUGUCUUGCCUGGCCAUGAAAUGGAUGGAUAAAUAUUUUUAUACCACCACCAUACAUAAUUACCCUUCCACAUUACAAAAGACGAGCUCGUACAAAUCGGUGCCUUACCAUUAGUCUGCAAAACGUGUUGUCAGUUUUGCAGCAGAAUGGAGGGAAAGAGAGGAAUUGAGUGGUGGUCUUGUUGAGGAAAUUGUGUGUGGCUUUUUCCACCUCUUCCUGAGUCCUGUUUUCAC